rnacentral:rRNA from 1 species
AACGAACGCUGGCGGCAGGCUUAACACAUGCAAGUCGAGCGCCCCGCAAGGGGAGCGGCAGACGGGUGAGUAACGCGUGGGAAUCUACCCAUCUCUUCAGAAUAACGCAUGGAAACGUGUGCUAAUACCGUAUACGUCCCUCGGGAGAAAGAUUUAUCGGAGAUGGAUGAGCCCGCGUUGGAGUGGCUAGUUGGUGGGGUAAAGGCCUACCAAGGCGACGAUCCAUUGCUGGUCUGAGAGGAGGAUCAGCCACACUGGGACUGAGACACGGCCCGGUCUCCUACGGGAGGCAGCAGUGGGGAAUCUGGGACAAUGGGUGCAAGCCUGAUCCAGGCAUGCCUCGUGGGUGAUGAAGGCCCUAGGGGUGUAAAGCUCUUUCACGGGUGAAGAUAUUGGCGGUAACCGGAGAAGAAGCCCCGGCUAACUUCGUGCCAGCAGCGGCCGCAGUAA